rnacentral:rRNA from 1 species
GAUGAACGCUGGCGGCGUGCUUAACACAUGCAAGUCGAACGAUGAACCCGGAGCUUGCUCCGGCGGAUUAGUGGCGAACGGGUGAGUAACACGUGAGUAACCUGCCCUUGACUCUGGGAUAACUGCGGGAAACUGUAGCUAAUACCGGAUACGACCCUCGGCGGCAUCGCCAGGGGGUGGAAAGAAUUUCGGUCAAGGAUGGACUCGCGGCAUAUCAGCUAGUUGGGGAGGUAACGGCUCACCAAGGCGACGACGGGUAGCCGGCCUGAGAGGGUGACCGGCCACACUGGGACUGAGACACGGCCCAGACUCCUACGGGAGGCAGCAGUGGGGAAUAUUGCACAAUGGGCGCAAGCCUGAUGCAGCAACGCCGCGUGAGGGAUGACGGCCUUCGGGUUGUAAACCUCUUUUAGUAGGGAAGAAGCGAAAGUGACGGUACCUGCAGAAAAAGCACCGGCUAACUACGUGCCAGCCGCCGCCGUAA